GGUGAACGCUAGCGGUGCGCCUAACACAUGCAAGUCGAGCGGUAGAAUAUUAAUUGAUUUUUCGGAUGAUUUUAAUAUUUGAGAGCGGCGAACGGGUGAGUAACACGUUGGUAUCUGCCCCCAAGUCAGGGAUAGCCAUUGGAAACGAUGAUUAAUACCGGAUAGUCUCUUCGGAGUAAAGAUUUAUUGCUUGGGGAGGAGCCUGCGUUCUAUCAGCUAGUUGGUAGUGUAAAAGACUACCAAGGCUAUGACGGAUACCUGGUCUGAGAGGAUGAUCAGGCACAAUGGAACUGAGACACGGUCCAUACUCCUACGGGAGGCAGCAGUGAGGAAUCUUCCACAAUGGGCGAAAGCCUGAUGGAGCGACACCGCGUGAAGGAUGAAGGCCUAACGGUUGUAAACUUCUUUUCUGAAGGAGCAUAAUGAGAGUACUUCAGGAAUAAGGGACGGCUAAAUACG
rnacentral:rRNA from 1 species